UACGUAGGGGGCAAGCGUUGUCCGGAAUCACUGGGCGUAAAGGGCGCGUAGGCGGCCUCUGCAAGUCGACUGUGAAAUCUCCGGGCUUAACCCGGAAAGGUCAGCCGAUACUGCAGGGCUAGAGUGCAGAAGGGGCAACUGGAAUUCUCGGUGUAGCGGUGAAAUGCGCAGAUAUCAGGAGGAACACCGGUGGCGAAGGCGGGUCUCUGGGCAACAACUGACGCUGAGGAGCGAAAGCGUGGGGAGCGAACAGG
rnacentral:rRNA from 1 species